CUACGGAGGAUCCGAGCGUUAUCCGGAUUUAUUGGGUUUAAAGGGUGCGUAGGUGGUUUGAUAAGUCAGCGGUGAAAGUUUGCAGCUUAACUGUAAAAAUGCCGUUGAAACUGUCGGACUUGAGUGUAAAUGAGGUAGGCGGAAUGCGUGGUGUAGCGGUGAAAUGCAUAGAUAUCACGCAGAACUCCGAUAGCGAAGGCAGCUUACUAAGCAACAACUGAUACUGAAGCACGAAAGUGUGGGGAUCAAACAGGAUUAGAUACCCUUGUAGUCCACGCAAUAAACGAUGAUUACUAGCUGUUUGCGAUACACAGUAAGCGGCACAGCGAAAGCGUUAAGUAAUCCACCUGGGGAGUACGCCGGCAACGGUGAAACUCAAAUGAAUUGACGGGG
rnacentral:rRNA from 1 species